GCCGGACGUGGUGGCGCGUGCCUGUAGUCCCAGCUACCCGGGAGGCUGAGGCAGGAGAAUCGCUUGAGUCCAGGAGUUCUGGGCUGUAGUGCGCUAUGCCGAUCGGGUGUCCGCACUAAGUUCGGCAUCAAUAUGGUGACCUCCCAGGAGCGGGGGACCACCAGGUUGCCUAAGGAGGGGUGAACCGGCCCAGGUCAGAAAUGGAGCAGGUCAAAACUCCCGUGCUGAUCAGUAGUGGGAUCGCGCCUGUGAAUAGCCACUGCACUCCAGCCUGGGCAACAUAGCGAGACCCCGUCUCU
rnacentral:SRP_RNA from 1 species